rnacentral:rRNA from 1 species
UNUGACUUGAGUGCAGAAGGGGAGAGUGGAAUUCCAUGUGUAGCAGUGAAAUGCGUAGAUAUAUGGAGGAACACCAGUGGCGAAAGCGGCUCUCUGGUCUGUCACUGACGCUGAGGCUCGAAAGCGUGGGUAGCGAACAGGAUUAGAUACCCUGGUAGUCCACGCCGUAAACGAUGAGUGCUAGGUGUUAGGCCCUUUCCGGGGCUUAGUGCCGGAGCUAACGCAAUAAGCACUCCGCCUGGGGAGUACGACCGCAAGGUUGAAACUCAAAGGAAUUGACGGGGGCCCGCACAAGCGGUGGAGCAUGUGGUUUAAUUCGAAGCAACGCGAAGAACCUUACCAGGUCUUGACAUCCCGAUGCUAUUCUUAGAGAUAGGAAGUUACUUCGGUACAUCGGAGACAGGUGGUGCAUGGUUGUCGUCAGCUCGUGUCGUGAGAUGUUGGGUUAAGUCCCGCAACGAGCGCAACCCUUAUUGUUAGUUGCCAUCAUUAAGUUGGGCACUCUAGCGAGACUGCCGGUAAUAAACCGGAGGAAGGUGGGGAUGACGUCAAAUCAUCAUGCCCCUUAUGACCUGGGCUACACACGUGCUACAAUGGUCGGUACAACGAGUUGCGAGCCGGUGACGGCAAGCUAAUCUCUGAAAGCCGAUCUCAGUUCGGAUUGGAGGCUGCAACUCGCCUCCAUGAAGUCGGAAUCGCUAGUAAUCGCGGAUCAGCACGCCGCGGUGAAUACGUUCCCGGGCCUUGUACACACCGCCCGUCACACCACGAGAGUUUGUAACACCCGAAGUCGGUGAGGUAACCUUUUAGGGGC